AAGGCACAGAAGCUGGCUAGAAUUUCAUGUCUCCGGCAAAUCUUAAACGUGGACGUAUUAUGGUCAUGUAAUUAUUUAAACAGCAGAUUGAAGUAAUAUCUAUGGAAUGGUAACCCAGCAAGCGCCACACAAAAACUCCAUGGAACUAGGACCCAAACGACACACGCCUCGGAAUAUUGGUUUGAAAUACCUCGGGCAGAUUUCUUCCAAAAUAGGAAAAUGCAAAACUGGGAAUCCCUUUAAUGGGGAAGGGAAAUCAACAGUGAUGGUCCAGAUCAGAAGCCAUUGUGACAGGCAAGUAUUAGUGGCUACAAACAAAUCAAAGAAUAAUAAAAAGGUGCCAAACAGGAAAAAUUUACAAAGCUGCAGAGAAUUUGAGGUGGAUAGAGAAGUGCAAUAUUGUUUCUGUGCAUAUUCACUCAUUAGAUAGAGCUGGCUCUACUAUCUAAUGAAUGAAUAUGCACAAAUAUAUUGUCCCUUGUUGGGCAGCAUUCCUUUUUUUUUAAUUCUGUGUAGAUCUCAAAGAUCUGUGUACAGC